CGAAAGCCUGACGGAGCAGCGCCGCGUGCGGGAGGAAGGCCUUAGGGUUGUAAACCGCUUUUCUCAGGGAAGAAGGACUGACGGUACCUGAGGAAUAAGCCUCGGCUAACUCCGUGCCAGCAGCCGCGGUAAGACGGAGGAGGCAAGCGUUAUCCGGAAUUAUUGGGCGUAAAGCGUCCGCAGGUGGCGAUUCAAGUCUGCUGUCAAAGCACGGGGCUUAACUCCGUUAAGGCAGUGGAAACUGAAUGGCUAGAGUGCCGUAGGGGUAGAGGGAAUUCCCGGUGUAGCGGUGAAAUGCGUAGAGAUCGGGAAGAACAUCGGUGGCGAAAGCGCUCUACUGGACGGCAACUGACACUCAGGGACGAAAGCUAGGGGAGCG
rnacentral:rRNA from 1 species